rnacentral:rRNA from 1 species
UACGGAGGAUCCAAGCGUUAUCCGGAAUCAUUGGGUUUAAAGGGUCCGUAGGCGGCUUUAUAAGUCAGUGGUGAAAUCCGGUAGCUCAACUAUCGAACGGCCAUUGAUACUGUAGAACUUGAAUUAUUGUGAAGUAACUAGAAUAUGUAGUGUAGCGGUGAAAUGCUUAGAUAUUACAUGGAAUACCAAUUGCGAAGGCAGGUUACUAACAAUACAUUGACGCUGAUGGACGAAAGCGUGGGGAGCGAACAGG